rnacentral:rRNA from 1 species
AAUAUUGGACAAUGGGCGAAAGCCUGAUCCAGCCAUGCCGCGUGUAUGAUGAAGGCCUUCGGGUUGUAAAGUACUGUUUUUGGGGACGAACGGUAUAUGUGAAAAUAUUGCAUAUACAUGACGGUACCCAAAGAGGAAGCCCCGGCUAACUACGUGCCAGCAGCCGCGGUAAUACGUAGGGGGCAAGCGUUGUCCGGAAUUAUUGGGCGUAAAGGGCGCGUAGGCGGAUAUUUAAGUCUGGUGUGAAAGGUUAGGGCUCAACCCUAAGACUGCACCGGAAACUGGAUAUCUUGAGGACAGGAGAGGAAAGUGGAAUUCCACGUGUAGCGGUGAAAUGCGUAGAUAUGUGGAGGAACACCAGUGGCGAAGGCGACUUUCUGGACUGUAACUGACGCUGAGGCGCGAAAGCGUGGGGAGCAAACAGG